AGUGAGAGUGGGGUGACCAACUGUCCUGGUUUGCCUAGGACCAAGGCGGGGGGGUCUUGGAAUAUUGGAUUUUCGAUUUUAAAACUGGGACGGUCCCAGGCAAACUGGGACAAGUUGGUGACCCUGGGAGAAAGUGCUCUCUGGCUGUUCAAAGGAACUCAGCCCUCUUGGUUAUUUGUGAAGCAGUUUCAGGGCCUCAUAAUUCUACGGUUGCUGGCUGCACAUGAAACUGGUGGGAGAAGAUGUGGGCUGGGAACUGUCUUUGGGGAAAACACCUUGAUAAGCGUCUGGGAGGCUCACCAGGCUCCGUGGGCUGGGUGUGAUAAGCUCUCUCCGUUCCCCAGCCCCGCCUUGCAGCUGGGUGUGGCUGAAUGAUGGAGCUGGAGCCAGUGGAAUGUGUGUGGAAGCGAUGGGUGCCAUUUCCAGGCCUGACCCAGAGCACCUCCCACCCCAGCCCCGCUCCCGCUCGUCUCCUUCCUGCUUGUGGGAUGGCUUCGGGAGCCAUGUGUCGACGCACACACAUCCACUGCCAGCCUGGGCCCCAUCCCCGCCUCAGCAAGCUGGAACCUCCUAGAUCUUAUUAUGAGAGAAAAAUAAACUUCUAUGGUGUUCGCUCAUUUCAUUCUGGGUUUAAUUGUUAAAGAAGUUUAGCUUACUCAAAACAAUAAGCUUGCAGAAGGCUUUAGACUUCCAGGGACAAGAAAAUCGGGGUGGAGAGCCAGGCUAGCAGCUGCUGGGCACAUUUUAGCAGAUCUCCAGGAUGGGCAGCGCCACUGUGCGGGAGUUACACAGGUGAAGUGUUUUGUAUGCACUCGGCAAACGACAGCUGUUCUGAUUACAGUGCUCUCAUCAUGGAAGAGCUGGUCUAUCUCUAAAAUGGACUCACAUGCCCCACCUCUCACGGGGGCUGUGGAUGUUGUCAUUCGCAUGAAGAGAGAACUUAACUGGAGUUUUCUUCUCUCCGUGCUGGGGAGCAAAGUCUUCACUGAGCUGACAGGAGCUGGUGUGUGUUGCAGGAGGAGAGAUUUUGGCUCAGGAAAGAAUGUUCUCACCCUCUGGGAGGCCCUGAGCACCCUCCUUAUGAAAGAGAGUGUACAAGCCUGGUGUGUUUCUAAGUUCCUGGCCUUCCUGAUAAGUCCCGAAGGCCCACAUCAGAAAAAGAGGGUUACGGUGCCCUGAACCAGAAGCCGGGCAACAUGAGGCAGCCACAGUGGACAGAUGUCAAGGACCCGCGCCCAAGCAGAACCAUGCAGCGGCACAUUGACAGCAGUGACGAGCCAGCCGGCAGCAUCCCCGAGUUCCUGGACAAUCCAAGAGUGUGAUCCAGGCUUCCUGUCAGUGUGGGCUGAGAGGGGGUGCGGCUGGUUUGAACUGAACUUGAAGAAUGGAGCUAGGAUAAGAUUUGCUGCCAGAGGGGGUGCAAGAGUCUCUAUUUGUCACACCAGAACUUAGAAGAAGAGAGGGCUGCUGGUUCCUGGUGACACCUGGGGGAAUCAGGGGCAGGUUGUGUCCACCCACCGCAGCCAAGCACCUUGUCCCCCACCCACUUCUGCUCCAAGCUGUGACUCUCAGCAUCUCUCAACCUCUCAAGCCUCACAGGAAACUCCGAGACCUGACUCUGCAUGAGCAAAGCAGACCCAGGCAAGGAGGAGGCCACGGGGCAGGGCUCAGCCCCCAAUCAAGUGUCCUGGGGCUCUGGAGAAGCCACAGAGGUGGCAGGGAGCGGGAGGCUGUACAGAGAGAGGAAGGAAAUGAGCUGCCAGCAGUCUGUGAAGGCUCAAAAUGACUUAUGAAGGGAAGGUCUUGGCGGGGCUGGAACAGGGAGGGUGUGAACAGCAUUGCCGAGACUAGAGGUUCAGAAGGCCACCAAGACUGCUCGUCUUGCAGACAGGCCGUUUCUCCCCACAUUGGCGAUGAGGAAGAGCAAGCAAAGAUGUUAGGGGAGCCGGCCAAAGCUCUGUGCAGAGAGGCUUAGAGUGGAAA
rnacentral:lncRNA from 1 species